rnacentral:rRNA from 1 species
GGAAGGGGUGUAUUUAUUAGAUAAAAAACCAAUGCCCUUCGGGGCUCCUUGGUGAAUCAUAAUAACUUAACGAAUCGCAUGGCCUUGCGCCGGCGAUGGUUCAUUCAAAUUUCUGCCCUAUCAACUUUCGAUGGUAGGAUAGUGGCCUACCAUGGUAUCAACGGGUAACGGGGAAUUAGGGUUCGACUCCGGAGAGGGAGCCUGAGAAACGGCUACCACAUCCAAGGAAGGCAGCAGGCGCACAAAUUACCCAAUCCCGACACGGGGAGGUAGUGACAAUAAAUACUGAUACAGGGCUCUUUUGGGUCUUGUAAUUGGAAUGAGUACAAUUUAAAUCCCUUAACGAGGAACAAUUGGAGGGCAAGUCUGGUGCCAGCAGCCGCGGUAAUUCCAGCUCCAAUAGCGUAUAUUAAAGUUGUUGCAGUUAAAAAGCUCGUAGUUGAACCUUGGGCCUGGCUGGCCGGUCCGCCUCACCGCGUGUACUGGUCCGACCGGGCCUUUCCUUCUGGGGAACCUCAUGCCCUUCACUGGGCGUGUUGGGGAACCAGGACUUUUAC